GCCUGGGUGGCUCAGUCAGUUGAGUGUAUGACUUCAGCUCAGCUCAUGAUCUCGUGGUCUGUGGGUUCGAGCCCCACUUCGGGCU
rnacentral:tRNA from 1 species